rnacentral:rRNA from 2 species
GGAUGCGAUCAUACCAGCACUAAAGCACCGGAUCCCAUCAGAACUCCGAAGUUAAGCGUGCUUGGCGAGAGUAGUACUAGGAUAGGUGACCUCCUGGGAAGUCCUCGUGUUGCAUUCCC